UUGCUCUUUGACCUCAAAGCUCUCUAAUGAAGAGGAGACAUCCUUUCCAACAAGUAAUUACAGCAGGUGAUUUUAUAACCAAUCUGGCUGAAGCCAAGAUUUUAUCUUUUAACCUUGAUGAGUGAAGCAGCUGGAAAUACUAACUUCUAAAACCAAAGGAUCAAAUUUUCUUUUGGUGCUGUCUUCCUCAGGCCUGGGAAAUACCCUGAAGUAGCUUCUUGGGUUAUGUAAAUGGAAAGCAAGCCAUCUCCUCUAGUUCAAGGUGAAGGCCUGAAAAAAUAGGGGAAAAGCAAGUAGUUGAGAAGACUAUUGUUCAUGCAGCUGCUUGUGAGGUUCAUGGAAGUAGGACGGAGAGGAAUGCUGGGAGUGUGCAGGAAUCUCAAGCACUUCCUGAAGUCAGUGGUGGCAGCAAUGGUGACAGUCAUCAAUACAGGAGAGUGGUGCCCUGUGGAGCCACAUUCUUCUAAGGGUGAAAGGCAACCAAGCUGCAGCAGAUCCAAAAGGCUGAGACAGAAUACAGGGUGGAGGUGGAGGUGGUACUGAUCCUGAAAACAAGAAGCUCCAUCCUGGAUGUUAUUGGAUAUUUGUGGGAAGAAAGAGGUUGCUGCCAUGAGAGCUUAAAUCAUCAUAAUUUCAACAGUAAAAGUAUGAUCUUAAUAUCCAAACUAUAUAAGGAACUUAACUAACAUGAAAAUAAAUAGCCCAAUUAACAAAUGGACCUGAAUAGACAUUUCUCUUUCUUUUUUCUUUUUUUUUUUUCUGGUAUUGGG
ensembl:lncRNA